rnacentral:rRNA from 1 species
GACGAACGCUGGCGGCGUGCUUAACACAUGCAAGUCGAACGGAAAGGUCCGGUUUUGGUGGGCUCGUCGGGGUACGACCGGGUGAGUUACCCGUAGGUUCCCUGUCAUUGACCUUGGGAUAAGUUAAGGCAACUGAGGCUAUUACCGCAAAGGAGCUCCUGCUGCUGGGUGGGGGUGGGAUAGUUUCGGCGGUUGGGAAUGGAAUCGCGGCGUAUGAGCUUGUUGGGUGGGUAGUGUCUUAGCAAGGCUUUGAGGGGUAGCCGGGCUGAGAGGGGAGGCGGCCACGCUGGGACUGAGAUACGGCCCAGACUCGUACGGGAGGCAGCAGUGGAGUAUGUUGCACUAUGGGCGGAAGCCUGAUGCAACAACGCCGCGUGCGGGAAGACGGCCUUCGGGUUGUAAACCGCUUUCGCCUGUGCCGAAGCGUGAGUGACGGUAAUGGGUAAAGAAGCACCGGCUAACUACGUG